rnacentral:lncRNA from 1 species
AUGUUCCAUUCUCAAGCAAUAUUCACACACGACCAUGCAAGCAAACAUCUCCUGACAUGCGCAGACACAUGUGCAUGCCCCCCACCUUCAAAGGCUUCCUCUUUUCCCUGUCUAACAACAGGUACCUCCCUGCUUUGCCACCUAGUUCCUGCAGGACCUAGACCUAGCUGUCACAGACCCUGUGGGCUGUCUGAGCACAAGGCCAGACCACGGCAGGCAAUGUGCCCUACUCCAGGCCAAUCAAGACUUUUCCUUCCUGCACACAACACCCAAAGGCAAGGCCACAGCAGCUCAUGGAGACCUUUAGCAGUAGCCAGAGCCCCUGCAGCAGCUCUUCCAACGCCAUCCAUGUGCUGCAGGGCCUUGAGGACUGGGGAGUGGGGCUGGCAUGCCAAACUGGAACCCAGCAAGGGACUAGCUCCUUCUAGGGGGACAUUCCCUGCAGUUAGAGCAAACCAGCCAUUUCACUGCAAGAAGGGGCCUGAACCAUGCCACCAGCCUCCCACUGGGCCUGGCCCCCCUUGGGGGCCACCUCACAGCCCCUGCCGGAACCCAGUCAGGGCUGGCGGGCAGGGGAGCAGGGGAUGGAGCAGGCCCCAAUUCCAGACCCCCAGCACAUGUCCUGCUGCAGCCAGGGCUGAGGUGACCCUGCCCUGCCCGACCGGUGCGGCAUGUCCUGGGGCCAGUGGGGCCCGGAGCUCCCCCCAGCUUGGAUGCUCCUGUUGGUGGCCCCAGCGGAGCUGUGCUGCCGGCCGAGAGGGCGGGGAGCGCCUGUGGCAGGGAGGGACAGGGAUGCCCCAGUCCGCCCCGCCCCGCCCCAGCCCCAGCCCCAGCCCAGCUCCCUCCCAAUCCGGAGCUGGUGGUGGGCCCAGUCCGGCCCACUGUCGCUUUCCCAGAUGGGCUCCUGGCAGUGCCGCGCCCCUGGCAGCUCCCACCACCCACCGCGAGACCUGCAGAGCGCCAGAAGGCCCCAGGCCCCAUGCUUGCCCCAGACCAGCCCUGUGA